CCGGAGGCCUCUGUGACGCUGCCCCCGCCUGCGUCACUUCGGCAUAACUUCUUCGGGGAAGCAAGGGCAGGACCGCGAAUAAGCUGGGUGAUCUCCCUUGCAGUUAACACAAUAUGGCGAAGAAGUGCAAUUCUCUGAUUGGUGGUCGUUGGAGCUGCAUUUAGCACAAGUUGUUUGUCCUCGGCAUGCAUGUGAAGCAUGUCCAAAUCUUUGGCACUUGAAGCAUCGUCUGGGAUUCGGGAUAUACGGUCUCACAUUGACUUUGACAUAACCUGCAUCGAGUGAAGUAGGCAUUACGCUUGUUCCGAAGGUGAGUAUAACAUGUUUGGUGGGGAUUUCUUGAUCGUUUCUGCGGAUUACUAUUCUCUGUACUUUGGUAACAUUUUGUUCCUGGAAACCUUCCAGCAGUUCCUCGUCGCUUAAUCCAAUAAAAUCUUCUUCAGAUAUUACUCCCCUGCUUGUGUUGAGCGUUCUGUGGGCUGAAACAGUCACUGUCGCCUCGCCAAUACUGGCAUUUGGCGACCAGGAAUGGAGAAAGCUUUCUAAUAGGCGUGUUACUUUCACUGUGGACUACAUAGUAUUUGGGGAAAGAUGGAGCGUUGCUUCGAAAGGAGAAUUGAAAUGGUACUUCGGUGCGGCAUCUUUUGAGACGCCGAUCAUGGACAACAGAGAUUUGAGCUGCCAUAGGAAAGUGUGUGUGUUCGGCAACAGCGCCGACCGCCCACCACGGAGCCCAACGAGGGGACGCGGCAGGGCUUGUGUCCAAGCCUGCACGACGCCAGCCGUACGCCGUCACUAUAACCAAAUAUGGUGUACCCAAGGUAGGAUAUCCACACAAGGUUAACCCUUGCCGCCGUGGAGAAAGGA
rnacentral:lncRNA from 1 species